rnacentral:rRNA from 1 species
AAUCAACGCUGGCGGCGUGCCUCAGACAUGCAAGUCGAACGCGAAAGUUUCCUUCGGGGAGCGAGUAGAGUGGCGCACGGGUGAGUAACACGUAGGUAAUCUACCUUCGGAUGGGGAAUAACAAUCGGAAACGGUUGCUAAUACCGCAUAAUGCAGCGGCACCUAAUGGUGACAGUUGUUAAAGCGGGGGAGUCGUAAGACCUCGCGUCUGAAGAGGAGCCUGCGGCGGAUUAGCUUGUUGGUAAGGUAAUGGCUUACCAAGGCGACGAUCCGUAACCGGCCUGAGGAGGGCGGUCGGUCACACUGACACUGACAUACGGGUCAGACUCCUACGGGAGGCAG